CAGAGAGUAGUUUAAUUAAAAUACCAGCUUUGGGAGUUGGCGAUGAAGGUUGUACUCCUUUCUCUUUGA
rnacentral:tRNA from 1 species